AUUUAGAAUAUUUUUCCAUGGUUACAUGAUUCAUGUUCUUUCCCUCCUCUCCUCCCAACCUCUUCCCAUGGCCAACAAGCAGUUACACUGGGUUUUACAUGUCUCGUUGAUCUAGACCUAUUUCCUUAUUAUUAGUAUUUGCACUAGAGUGACCAGUUAGAGUCUACAUCCCUAAUCAUAUCCCCAUUGACCCAUGUGAUCGAGCAGUUGUUUUUCUUCUGUGUUUCUACUCCCACAGUUCCUUCUCCGGCUGUUGACAGCAUUUUUUCUCAUAAGUCCCUCAGAAUUUUCCUGGAUUAUUGCAUUGCUCCUCAGAGAAGUCCACUACAUUUGAUUGUGCCACAAUGUCUGACUUCAUCUGUGUGAAAAGUGUUUUGUAACUGUGUUCAUAUCAUUUCUGGAGGGGCUUUGGGCCUGAAUUCAUAUCUAUCCCUUCAAAAUCCUGUGGCCAUGGGAUUAAAGAUGGAUCAUUUCUGGUCUCUUCUAUGAAUUGGUUCCUCUCUCUCUCUCGGUAAGUAAUUCCUUAGUCAGUAAGAAAAAAAUAAGCGUAGUCCAGGUCAAAGAUCUCAAUCACCCUCUGAAAUUCCUUUACCACUUUAUUGGAAAGGUUCAUUGGAAAAGGAAGGGGUUCUACAUCUGAUAGUUUCUAAAUCCUCAGGAGU
rnacentral:lncRNA from 1 species